GCCCUCGUGGUGGAAUGGUAGACGCGGCGGUUUCAAAAACCGCUUCCGAGAGGAGUGCCGGUUCGAGUCCGGCCGAGGGCACCA
rnacentral:tRNA from 1 species